rnacentral:rRNA from 1 species
AACGAACGCUGGCGGCAUGCCUAACACAUGCAAGUCGAACGAGACCUUCGGGUCUAGUGGCGCACGGGUGCGUAACGCGUGGGAACCUGCCCUUAGGUUCGGAAUAACUCCCCGAAAGGGGUGCUAAUACCGGAUAAUGUCUUCGGACCAAAGAUUUAUCGCCUUUGGAUGGGCCCGCGUUGGAUUAGCUAGUUGGUAGGGUAAAAGCCUACCAAGGCGACGAUCCGUAGCUGGUCUGAGAGGAUGAUCAGCCACACUGGGACUGAGACACGGCCCAGACUCCGAGGGGAAGCCGGAGGGGGGAAGAUGGGACAAUGGGGGAAAGGCUGAUGCAGCCAUGCGGGGUGUGUGAAGAAGGUGUUCGGAGUGUAAAGAAAUUGAAGUUGGGAGGAAGGGAAGGAAGUGAAUAACUUGCUGUUUUGACGUGAGCGAAGGAAGAAGCACCGGCGAACGUCGUG